rnacentral:rRNA from 1 species
UAGGGAAUAUUAGAAAUGGACGAAAGUCUGAUCUAGCAACACCGCGUGUGCGAAGAAGGCCUUCGGGUUGUAAAGCACUUUUUUGGAAGGAUUAGGAAGGAAUGUACUUCCAGAAUAAGUCUCGGCUAACUACGUGCCAGCAGCCGCGGUAACACGUAGGAGGCAAACGUUAUCCGGAUUUACUGGGCGUAAAGCGCGUGUAGGUGGUUCUGUAAGUAGGGCGUGAAAGCUCCUGGCUCAACUGGGAGAGGCCGUUCUAAACUGCAGAGCUAGAGGAUGGGUAGAGGGAGGUGGAAUUCCGGGUGUAGCGGUGGAAUGCGCAGGAUAUCCGGAGGAACACCAGGUGGCGAAAGCGGCCUCCUGGACCAGUUCCUGACACACAGACGCGAAAGCUAGGGU